GGGCGGCUAGCUCAGCGGUCUAGAGCGCCUGCUUCACACGCAGGAGGUCAUUGGUUCAAAUCCAGUGCCGCCCACCA
rnacentral:tRNA from 1 species